UACGUAGGGUGCAAGCGUUAAUCGGAAUUACUGGGCGUAAAGCGUGCGCAGGCGGCUUUGCAAGACAGAUGUGAAAUCCCCGGGCUUAACCUGGGAACUGCAUUUGUGACUGCAUGGCUGGAGUGCGGGAGAGGGGGAUGGAAUUCCGCAUGUAGCAGUGAAAUGCGUAGAUAUGCGGAGGAACACCGAUGGCGAAGGCAGUCCCCUGGGCCUGUACUGACGCUCAUGCACGAAAGCGUGGGGAGCAAACAGG
rnacentral:rRNA from 1 species